rnacentral:rRNA from 1 species
UACGUAGGGCGCAAGCGUUGUCCGGAAUUAUUGGGCGUAAAGAGCUCGUAGGCGGCUUGUUGCGUCGGCUGUGAAAACCCGUGGCUUAACUGCGGGCUUGCAGCCGAUACGGGCGGGCUAGAGUUCGGUAGGGGGAGACUGGAAUUCCUGGUGUAGCGGUGAAAUGCGCAGAUAUCAGGAGGAACACCGGUGGCGAAGGCGGGUCUCUGGGCCGAUACUGACGCUGAGGAGCGAAAGCGUGGGGAGCGAACAGG